AGGGAAAAAAACCAAAAAACGGAGAAAAGCCCCAGAUAAUAAAAAACAGCCCCCAAAAAAGGAGGUUCUCGACCUCGCCGCCGGUAAAUCCCGGUGGAUGCUCCUCAAAGUUGGCAGCGCGGGCGCGUUGCGCCGCCGCUGCGCGCCUGGCGGGCGGGCUGCAGGGCAAAACCGGGAAAAAGGAAGAAAAAAGGGGGAAAAACAGAAAUAAAAGAAGGCUUGCAGCUACCAGAAAGUCAUUAAGGCAUUAGUUUCUCUGAGAAGACAGAUCUGAAGAAAAUUCAAGAAAAUGAGAAAAUAGAUCUAAAUAAGGUGGAGUUGAAUGCAGUGGUUAACUGCAAGCAAUAUGUUCUGAAGAUGAUGGUGUUCAGACAAAUACCCAAUUUGAUUCUCAUAAAUUGGAUGCAAGACUUUGACCAGCAUGAGAAGAACAGAGAGAACAAUAUGGAACUAAGAUAUUAUGAAUCCAGUCGGAUCACACUUUGGGCCGACAGCAGAGAAAGCAAAGCCUACAUUGAACCCAUAACUUCUGCUUAUGGAAUAAAAUAUACUUGGGGAUGGUAACAAAGGCCAUGUGUAGUGAAGAAUCUCUUCAUCCCAAGGCACUGUGGAAGCAGGCAGCAUCCCAGACCUGUGGAGGAGCUCAGCAGGAGAACAAGUGGGGGAAAAUAUUCCCAAUGUCACGCUGCUGCUGGUGGCUCAGGCACAGGAACAGGGGCCUGUGGUGGUCCAGCUCGUUGGAAAGUUUUGUGCAGAAACCAGGAGGAUCUAACAGCUGGAGCUAAUCCGUGAGGAAACAGCACCACCAGCAACAACAGUUUGCUCUGGACCAGAAAAAAAGUGGAAGAGGUGGGGCUAAGAGGGAUUUUCUCCUUCAAAAGAAGAAAUGUUGCUUUCCAGGCACCUGUAUGCUGAAAUGGAUUGAAAUGCAGCUUUCAUGCAGCCUGAUAACUGCUCCUCACUGGAGGAAGAACCUUGGAUAAAUGGAAUUUGCUCUGCCUUGCUCAGUGAGGCCACCUCAGAGCGCUGGUGCUUGUGUGAAUUGAAGAAAUGUUUGGAAACUGAGGUGGUUGUUACCUUUCUGUGUUUGGGUGUUCACGGAGUGUUUCUGGCCAACACCUAAAAUUCAGUUUCCAAGGCAGGAGGCAGCAAAAGGCAAGUUUUGUAAAGACAAAAUGAGACCAAUGGAAAGAAAUUUCCUCCCAGCACCUUGGAUACCCUUCUCAACAAUAAAAUCCACCAGAGGAACUAUGAUGUUUGUGGAUUUUGUAGCUCCUUGUUCAGUCCAAAUAUGAGGCAACCUUUCCCCUGGAUUUAUGGAGUUUAAUACUGCAGGGAGUUUGGGAUCUUCACAAACUAUAACCAGAUUUUACUGGUGCCAAAUCUUUUGUGAUCCAAGCUCAUUUGUGGUGGGAAUGGGCUCAAGAUAAGGUCAUGAGGAAUUAUAUUGUUUCUUUCUUUCCCCUGUAUGGAAUUCCCAAAAGCCAGUUGCUAACUGGGUUGGUAAAUCACAUCCUGCAUAAAUAUAUUGAUAAAUACCAAUAUAUCUUCAGCUAAGAAGAAUCAGAGAUGUCCCAAGGAGGAAAAAUUAACUCCUUUUCCAUCUCUGUUUGCAUUGAAGAUGUUCCUUGUUUCAAAGACUUUUUCCUUAGAAUAUCUUUUUGUAAUCCCUGUGAAAAGCCAGGUAAUAUCCUUACAUAUCCUUCGUCCUGUCCCAGGUCUAUGUUUUAAGAUCAACGUCUCAGGUACAACCAGUUCUUCCAAACAUCACCUUUUUCUCUUUUUGACCUUAAAUGUUAAUGUACUCUUCUUGCUUUAUUUUCAGAAAUUCUGUUUAUUAUUUGAAAUGAACAUGCAGAAAUAGAAGUUUUCUCUAAAUUAGGUGGAAACUCAAUCUUUUACAUAUAUUUUCUCAUGUAAUUGUUAUCAGGUUGGUAAAAGGAAUCUGAUUUUCAGUAGAGGAGCAGAGUUUUCUUUAUUUUUGUUUUAUCUGUAGGGAUUUUCCAUGAUUUAUAAAAGCUGCAGGUACAGGUAAAGAUAAGGAAAGAGGAGGGCAGGUAUUGGUGUGUUCACUGAGUAGCUGAUUUAGAGAAAUGGGGGUCCCCUGGGCCUGACUUGCAACCAAAUGACCAAAACACUUUGCCUUUUAUUUAUUUAUCCAGCUACUUAACACUUCUUACCGUUUCUCUUAAAUGAAUUAAUUUACCCUACAAAGCACUCCUUGCAAUAAUCAAUGACUCAUUACACUGAAAGCCCGCAGGAAAUACUAAUUAAAUGAAAAAUGUGCAGGAGGAAUGUGCAACUUUUGUAUUUCCAACGACCCAACUACUCAGUGCUUUCUUUUUUUCCCAAGUCCUCAUAAGUUACAGGGAAGGUUUUUGCCUUCAGCCAUAGGGAGCUGUGGUGGCUUGGAGGGUGGUGAUAUUUCCCAGCCAUACCAAAUCCAGUUCAUUUAUCAUCAAUAUCCACAGGAAAUAAUAAUCUGUUUAUACAUCACAUUUCUCUGAGCUCUGAGACGUUCUAGUCAUGAAUUCCUUCCAGCUGCUUUUCUCAUUCCCACAGCAGAAUUGCUUGGGAAGGGUUAUCCCUCACCCAGCACUUAUUCCAACAAUUAUUGACUGAUAGUCACUGGUAAUUCCAACUCUCUGACAAUCUUUGAUAAAGAUUUUGUGCUGUUGUUAUGCUCCCAAAUGUCUCCUCACCCAUAAAGGCCUUGAACUCCAGGUUGGGUAGUUGACACAGCCACCUUUUUGGGAUCUUUGAAUAGGAAGAUCUUAAUAAUAUGGAAAUAAUGUGGAAGAUGAAGUUUUUGUAAGGAUAGAAAUGCUGAAAUUGAGAGUGGGUUCAAAACUCCUGCUUCCUUGCUGUGUCCUGCUCCCUUUGGUGAAGGGAUUUCUGGAGCAAUCGAGGUUUCUUUUAUGCUUGGUCAGUGAUUUUUGGAGAAAGUGUGUUAAGCAAAGCCAUGAAAUAAAGCAAUCAGAACAAGGUAAAGCAAAAUCCCCCAAAACCACCACCAGCACCAAAAAAAAAAAACCAAAAAAACAAAACCAAACAGUAAAGACAAAAAGGGAAAAAAAAGGCAGUUGCCAAGCUCCUUUACUUCAGAUCCUUUACACUGAUGGUUUUGUAGGAUAUCAGCUUUCUGUUCUGGUUUGUUCCCCACCAAAUCACCCCUCAGGUUUGUUCCUCCCUCCAAAUUCAUUUACAUUUUUUGCAGAUUGAUGUUUUCUUGACCACCAGGCCAUACCUGCAUUCAGGUACUGCUGCUCCCAUUUAGUUUAGCAGGUGACCCAAUGCCAGCCUGGGGCACUCACCAUCCUGGAAAAGUUCAAGUCACAAACACCAGAAAUAAUUAUUUUGAUUUUUAAGUAACAUGGGAAGAGAGGGAGAAUAAGAGAGGAAUUAAUUCCCUACUCGAUUUUAAGGCAGCAAGAAUUUAAGUCAAUUUAGCUCCUUGUGCUAAUUAAUGCUUCCAAAGAGCUGUAAAAUGUUACAACAGAGAAGAUUAAUUAUUUAAAGUGGAAGUGACCAAGAGAAAUUUGGAUGAACAUGAUACUGCCUCUACUUUUGGUUUUCAGGCAAAAAAUUGCAUUUAAAAUGGUGGCAAUGUAUUGAAGAUUUUGGCAAAACUUUGUUCUCAGCUGUAGGCAGUUGUGUUUCUGUAGAGAUUUCCUGUGCUGCAGGACAGGGAAGGCAGGGCAGGAAGGGUAAAUUAGGAAGAAAAGAAGAUUUUAAUCCCAAAUGGAUGAAAUUUGAGAUAGAAAUGGCUGGUUUAGCCCCUAACUCUGUAUUUUAGAGAUAAAACAAAUGGUGGUGGUGGUGCUGGUAGUAGUAGACUGAAUUUAUUUAUUCUGUAAAUCAAGAGCUGGAUAUUUUCCUUGCUCCUUUGUAAUUUUAUUGAAGGAAAAUCAUAGAUGUCUUUUUAGUGCUUCAGGGGAUUGAUACUUUCAGGUUACAUUCCUGGCUUUCAGUCUAGUUUCUCCCUCACCAGCCUUUGGAAUUCAGUGGGACUGAUGGAUUUCAUCAUUUCAGGAAUUAGGCCUUAAAUUCUGAUGUCUACAAAACAUAAAAGAGCUGGAAUUGUGUAUAUUUUCCCUCAACCCACAAUAUAUUCCUUAAAGACAAUAGAAAAAAAAAAUCAUAUAAAAUGGUCUCUUUAUUUGGAGGUUCUUUAAUAUCAGAGGAGAUUUGCUUCCAGCUAAGAAAACAUUUGUUACAGAGCUAAAAAUGUUUGAUAUGCUGCUGUAUUAGAUAAAGUUUGUUAGUGCACAGUGGCACAGUGCUGGUAAUUGAAGAACUCACAGGAUUUUCGGCAGUAAAAGAUCCCCAGUGAGUGCUAAGCUCAGUGGGAAAAUGUGAUGUAUAAAUCUUCAGUGAGAGCAGAGGAACAUGAUGGGAGCAGCUCUGCACUCAACCCUGGGAACCCCAAACCACCACCAAAGAACAUUAAAGUGAAAUAAAAGGAAAGAGAUGAUAUCUUGGGGCAUAAAAGCCGUUUCCAAAGAAUUUUCUUGUUAAAUAUAAUGUUGGACAACAGCCUACAGUAAUUCUCAACUCACUGGAGACUCCUGCUGUCACUUGGCAUGAUCUGGUCUAGUGAAGGAAUCAGCCUCUAGCCCUGCCUUGUCCUGGAAUAUCUAAUGCCAUGAGAAGUGGUCACUGGAGAUAUUGAGAGAGAUGGGAGAAGUCCAGGCAAGACAACCAUGGCCAAAGUUGAUCAAUAAAUUUGUUUUGUGUGAUGGCAUGAGGAACAUCAGCUUGUGAAGAACUGAUGAAGGUUUGUUAUAUCCUGAGUUAGCCAGCCUGGAUGGUUUCAGGAAUGGUGAAGGUUUGUUAUAUCCUGAGUUAGCCACCCUGGAUGAUUUCAGGAAUGAUGAAAGUUUGUUAUAUCCUGAGUUAGCCACCCCUGGGUGGUUUCAGGAAUGGUGAAAGUUUGUUAUAUCCUGAGUUAGCCACCCCUGGGUGGUUUCAGGAAUGGUGAAAGUUUGUUAUAUCCCGAGUUAGUCAUCCCUGGAUGAUUUCAGGAAUGAUGAAAGUUUGUUAUAUCCCGAGUUAGUCAUCCCUGGAUGAUUUCAGGAAUGAUGAAAGUUUGUUAUAUCCUGAGUUAGCCACCCCUGGAUGGUUUCAGGAAUGGUGAAGGUGAGCCUGGAAAGAGCCAGAGAAGGAACAGCAAAGCCACCAGAGGAAUGUGACAACAAACUCCAGAGAGCAAAGGCAGUGCCACGGAGGGGGAGGCUUGGGCACCUGUUGUGACAGCUGUGACUAAGCAUACAAUGACCAGAUCAGGGUGAAUAAUGAGACAAUCUGCUCAUUUAAGAGUGGAUAUACAAACCCAGCAGGGACAUGAAACUGUUUUGCUUUGUUUUACUGAUAAUGUGUUAUUGGAGUCAUGUCUCUGGCUGUGUCCUAGAGUGGGUUCAAAGCAAUUACUUACAUAACACAGGAUAUAUUUAAGUCAGGGAAAAGCAGGGAGGGAGAAAUGUGUGUAUCUCAAUUUCUGGUUAAGAAGGAAAAUGAAAUUAUGUUUUUCCCAAUAGAUUUAUUGAUUACCAUUUUUCCAGCAUUGGGAUCUCCAUCUCAAGGGCUGGAUCAUCCUUGCAAAACUUGAACUGGAAAGUAAUCAAUGAAUGAGACUAAACUCUGUACCCACCCCUCCCCAGCUGCUGGUUCCUACCCUACCAACCAUUAGUUAUUCUAAUAGCAAACUCCUUAAAAAUAACUCAAUGCAUUCUCCAGGACUUGGAGCCCAUCUCUGGAUGCCUCCAGCCUGGUCCAUGGUGGCCAGGCAAUAUUUGGUGCAGGCCUGAAGUGUUUUUCUCUUGUAGUGCUCUGCUUUAGGAGUGGUCAGGUGUCUUCUGCAUCAACUUUGGGGUUGAUUUUGAGGUGGCAAAUGCACUGCUUUCACAAAAUUUCUUCCAUGGGUGAAAUAAAAGUGUGUUUGCUGCUCACAGAGCAGAGUAACAUGCAGGACAACAAGGGAAAAGAAAGGAAAAAUUAAAUUCCCAAAGCCAAGAAAUAGCAGAGUCCAGGGCAACUGCCUGUGCUGCAAAAUUGAUUCACAAGUAAUGGCAUUCCAUGAAAGGGUGACCACCCCUGCUUUAAUUUCAAAUUAAAGCCAUAUUGAGAAACUUGGAAUCCUAAGACAAGAUUUGUGGGAUGUAAAUACCUGGUGGGUGCAGCCAACCAGCACAAAAUAUCUUUGGAGGGAGCUGGAGCUCGGUCCCUGCUGGAGUUCCCUGUGCCUACAGAUCAUCGUGUACAGGGAGUAAUUACAGCAGGGUUUGUCAACUAAUUUGGUGGAGGGAUGAAUUCUUUAUCUAUUAAUCAAUGUAGGGAAGCAUGAAGCACCUAUAAACCAUUCAUCUCACUUUAGCUUCUUGCUUACCUUUAAUUAGAGUUGUUCUGAUUUGAUUGGGGAAAAUGGAGGUACCUUGGAAUAGAGAGGUGUCAGCUGGAGCAUCUUGGACAGCCCUUCCUGCUGUGGGAUCCUCAGAAAAUAAGUUGACUAGUUUGGAUUUUUAUUUCCACAAUGAACACCCAUAAACAUCUCGCAGGAUUUCAAAUCUGUGCCUCCGCCGGUUUUGACACCGUGCAAUGAAGCAUCCGAGCUCUCAGAUGUCUGGCUCUUCCGAGUUGUGAAAUGAGAAAACAAACAAACCCAACCAUUCCAGCCCUGUCAAUCUCCUUCUCAGUGGACAGAUGCCCUGGUGCCAGAAAAUCUUCAUCCCAUGAUCCCACACCUCUUGGCAGU